rnacentral:lncRNA from 1 species
AAAAAAAAAAGAAAAAAAAAGAGAGCAGAAAAACAGUGAAAAAUGAAAAAAAAAUUGUGAAUAAUUGUGAAUAAUGGAGUCAAGAAGAGGAUGGAAUUAGAGGUUGUGGGUGUGUUUGAAUGUGUUUACACUUGUUCCCCAUUGCUCCUCUGUUCCUUAUGGUUUGUAACUUCUUAUCCAGAUAUAUCCUCCCUUGUCCUUGGUCCCAUUAUAACCAUGAAAAGACCUUUUGAUUUGAACAUGCGUAUGUGCUUGAGUGUUGAUAUUAGAGGCUU